GACGAACGCUGGCGGCGUGCUUAACACAUGCAAGUCGAACGAUGAACCACUUCGGUGGGGAUUAGUGGCGAAUGGGUGAGUAACACGUGGGCAAUCUGCCCUUCACUCUGGGACAAGCCCUGGAAACGGGGUCUAAUACCGGAUACAACACUCUCGGGCAUCCGAUGAGUGUGGAAAGCUCCGGCGGUGAAGGAUGAGCC
rnacentral:rRNA from 1 species